rnacentral:rRNA from 1 species
ACCCCGGGAGGGGAGUGAAACAGUCUCUGAAACCGUGCGCCUACAAUCCGUCGGAGCCCUUUUGUGGGGUGACGGCGUGCCUAUCGAAAAAUGAGUCUGCGAGUCAGUGGCAUGUGGCGAGCAUAACCCGUGUGGGGUAUGCGUAGCGAAGGCGAGUCUUAAAAGGCGUUUGAGUCGCGUGUCCUGGACCCGAAGCGGGAUGAUCUAGCCCUGAGCAGGUUGAAGCGCGGGUAAGACCGCGUGGAGGACCGAACCCACCUGGGUUGAAAACCGGGGGGAUGACUUGGGGCUAGGGGUGAAAGGCCAAUCAAAUUCCGUGAUAGCUGGUUCUCUCCGAAAUGCAUUUGGGUGCAGCGUCGGGUCAUUACGUCCCGGGGGUAGAGCUACUGGAUGCUUGCGGGCCCGUAUCGGGUACCAACAGCAACCAAACUCCGAAUACCGGUGACGCGUAUCCCGGCAGUGAGUCGGCGGGGGAUAAGCUUCGUCGUCGAAAGGGAAACAGCCCAGACCGUCGUCUAAGGUCCCGAAGCGUGUGCUAAGUGGGAAAGGAUGUGGAGUCGCAUAGACAGCCAGGAGGUUGGCUCAGAAGCAGCCACCCUUGAAAGAGUGCGUAACAGCUCACUGGUCUAGUGGUUCCGCGCCGACAAUGUAGCGGGGCUCAAGCACGCCACCGAAGACGCGGCAGUAUUUUGUACUGGGUAGGAGAGCGUCCCAUGAGGGGCGAAGCGGCCGUGUGAACGCGCCGUGGACUUCAUGGGAGUGAGAAUGCAGACAUGAGUAGCGAGAGACGGGUGAAGAUCCCGUCCGCUGGAUGACCAAGGGUUCCAGGGCCACGUUCAUCGUCCCUGGGUGAGUCGGGUCCUAAGGCGAGGCCGACAGGCGUAGUCGAAUGGAUGAACGGGUCGAUAUUCCCGUACCGGCUUUCAGCCGCCAAAACCGAGGCUUGGAGUACUAACCUCCGGGUCCGGGCUUACUGCUCCUUCGGGGGCGGGAUGCCCUGGCCUGUUGGGACCGAUCCUUGUAGUAGGUCAGCGCAGGAGUGACGCAGAAGGGUAGCCGGCCGCGGAGGUGGUCUUCCGUGGUCAAGCACGCAGGGCGUGGGACAGGCAAAUCCGUCCCGCAUGGGUCCGAGGUGCGAUGAUGGGGGCCUUAUGGCCCGAUAUCCGGUGAUCCCGGCUGCCGAGAAAAGCUUCGGCGUCAGGCUCAAAGCCGCCCGUACCCCAAACCGACACUGGUGGUCAGGUAGAGAAUACCAAAGCGAUCGAGCGAAUCCUGGUCAAGGAACUCGGCAAAUCACUCCCGUUCCUUCGGUUUAAGGGAGACCCCCGAUGGUGAACACACUUGCUGUGGGAGCUUUUGGGGGUGGCACAGACCAGGGGGUAGCGACUGUUUACCAAAAACACAGGUGCAUGCGAAGGCGCAAGCCGCUGUAUAUGCACUGACGCCUGCCCGGUGCCGGAAGGUUAAGAGGAUCCGUCAGCCUUCGGGUGAAGCGGUGAAUUCAAGCCCCGGUAAACGGCGGUGGUAACUAUAACCAUCCUAAGGUAGCGAAAUUCCUUGUCGGGUAAGUUCCGACCUGCACGAAUGGCGUAACGACUUCCCCACUGUCUCGACCAGGAGCUCGGCGAAAUUGCAGUACGAGUAAAGAUGCUCGUUAAGCGCAGAAGGACGAAAAGACCCCGGGACCUUUACUAUACCUUGGUAUUGGCAUUCGGUGUGGAUUGUGUAGCAUAGGCGGGAGGCCGAGAGGCGCGGUCGCCAGAUCGCGCGGAGCCGUAAGGUGAAAUACCGCUCUGUUCGCAUUGGAUGUCUAACCUCGAACAGUCAUCCUGUUCAGGGACAGUGCCUGGCGGGUAGGUUAACUGGGGCGGUUGCCUCCCAAAGAGUAACGGAGGCGCCCAAAGGUCCGCUCAGCCCGGUUGGCAAUCGGGUGGCGAGUGCAAGUGCACAAGCGGGCUUGACUGCGAGGACGACGGUCCGAGCAGGGACGAAAGUCGGGACUAGUGAUCCGGUGCCGGUGUACGGACGCGGCAUCGCUCAACGGAUAAAAGGUACCCCGGGGAUAACAGGCUGAUCAUUCCCAAGAGUCCAUAUCGACGGGAUGGUUUGGCACCUCGAUGUCGGCUCGUCGCAUCCUGGGGCUGGAGCAGGUCCCAAGGGUUCGGCUGUUCGCCGAUUAAAGCGGCACGCGAGCUGGGUUCAGAACGUCGUGAGACAGUUUGGUCUCUAUCCUCUGCGCUCGUUGGAAUGCUGAGGAGGCCUGCCCAUAGUACGAGAGGACCUGGGUGGACGAACCUCUGGUAUGCCGGUUGUCACGCCAGUGGCACGGCCGGUUGGCUACGUUCGGAAGGGAUAACCGCUGAAAGCAUCUAAGCGGGAAGCCUGCUCCAAGAUAAGCAUUCCGUGGAACCUUCGAGUUCCUGUAGUCCCCAUGCAGAACACGUGGUCGAUAGGCCGGACGUGGAAGCCCCGCGAGGGGUGGAGCCGACCGGUACUAACGGACGAAAGGCAACACUA